rnacentral:rRNA from 1 species
AACGAACGCUGGCGGCAUGCCUAACACAUGCAAGUCGAACGAUGCUUUCGGGCAUAGUGGCGCACGGGUGCGUAACGCGUGGGAAUCUGCCCUUGGGUUCGGAAUAACAGUGAGAAAUUGCUGCUAAUACCGGAUGAUGUCUUCGGACCAAAGAUUUAUCGCCCAGGGAUGAGCCCGCGUAGGAUUAGCUAGUUGGUGGGGUAAUGGCCUACCAAGGCGACGAUCCUUAGCUGGUCUGAGAGGAUGAUCAGCCACACUGGGACUGAGACACGGCCCAGACUCCUACGGAAGGCAGCAGUGGGGAAUAUUGGACAAUGGGCGCAAGCCUGAUCCAGCAAUGCCGCGUGAGUGAUGAAGGCCUUAGGGUUGUAAAGCUCUUUUACCCGGGAUGAUAAUGACAGUACCGGGAGAAUAAGCUCCGGCUAACUCCG